rnacentral:rRNA from 1 species
UACGGAGGGUGCAAACGUUGCUCGGAAUCAUUGGGCGUAAAGCGCACGUAGGCGGUCCGGUAAGUCGGAUGUGAAAUCCCUCGGCUCAACCGAGGAAGGGCAUCCGAAACUGCCGGGCUUGAGUACGGAAGAGGGUCUCGGAAUUCCCGGUGUAGAGGUGAAAUUCGUAGAUAUCGGGAGGAACACCAGUGGCGAAGGCGGAGACCUGGGCCGACACUGACGCUGAGGUGCGAAAGCGUGGGGAGCAAACAGG